UAAUUAUUUUAUUUAAAAUCACAUGUGAUUUUCCACUUUUGGCUAUGUGACCUGAUAUCAUUUUUGUGUGUAUGCACAAAUUAUUUAUUUGCUUAAGCAGCUAAGCUACAACUUUAGAUGGCGAGUACUUAGUCCAUGUCGAGCUAAGAAAAUUGCCUCGCGUUUCUUCCUAUAUGCAUCAAUCAAAUUUCAUGAGUAUUUGCAGCUAUAUAAUCUCAUGGUUUCUCUUUCUCAUGUUAGUGCAGUUUUUUUAAGGCAAGACUUGGGGUCUGCAUUGUUCAUCAAUUUAUAAUGGCAUAGGCUAGACAUUCAUCACUUGUGUACUCACCUCCCUUCAUCAAGCCCCACACUCCAGCUUGAGACCGACUCCGACGAGAGUAGUACCAGCAACCAGCAACUCCAGAAUUAGCAAGACCAGCGGCGAGACAAAUAAUUGAGUAUCAGAUAUUGGAGAUCCAAAAAUGUUCCAGCUUACCUCAUUUCCAUGGUUUUUGAGUCACGACUCAAAAGUGUGUCGUCGAGGUUGUGAAUCAGUGUAUAGUCGACUAAAGUUGUUGUAUAAUCGCGAGUCGCCGUGAUUUUUGGAGAAUAACUGGCAACUAUUCAGCGUCUAUACAGCGACUAAAAAACCAUGCUCCUUCCAAUAACUAAGAGUAUGAGAUUCAGAAUUUUA